rnacentral:rRNA from 1 species
GACGAACGCUGGCGGCGUGCUUAACACAUGCAAGUCGAACGAAGUGGCGGACGGGUGAGUAACGCGUAAUUAACCUGCCCUUCAGAGGGGGACAACAGUUGGAAACGACUGCUAAUACCGCAUACUUACGGAGGGGAUUGCGUAUGAUUAGCUAGUUGGGGGGGUAAUGGCCCACCAAGGCGAUGAUCAGUAGCCGGUCUGGGAGGAUGAACGGCCACAUGGGGACUGAGACACGGCCCAGACUCCUACGGGAGGCAGCAGUGGGGAAUCUUCCGCAAUGGACGAAAGUCUGACGGAGCAACGCCGCGUGAGUGAUGACGGCCUUCGGGUUGUAAAGCUCUGUUAAUCGGGACGCGGUACCGGAAUAGAAAGCCACGGCUAACUACGUGCCAGCAGCCGCGGUAAUAC